rnacentral:rRNA from 1 species
AUUGAACGCUGGCGGCAGGCCUAACACAUGCACGUCGAGCGGAUGCAGGGAGCUUGCUCCUGGAUUCAGCGGCGGACGGGUGAGUAAUGCCUAGGAAUCUGCCUGGUAGUGGGGGAUAACAUCCGGAAACGGGCGCUAAUACCGCAUACUUCCUGAGGGAGAAAGUGGGGGAUCUUCGGACCUCACGCUAUCAGAUGAGCCUAGGUCGGAUUAGCUAGCUGGUGGGGUAAAGGCCUACCAAGGCGACGAUCCGUAACUGGUCUGAGAGGAUGAUCAGUCACACUGGAACUGAGACACGGUCAAGACUCCUACGGGAGGCAGCAGUGGGGAAUAUUGGACAAUGCGCGAAAGCCUGAUCCAGCCCUGCCGCGUGUGUGAAGAAGGUCUUCGGAUUGUAAAGCACUGCCAGUCGGGAGGACGGGCAGUAAGUUAAUACCUUGCUGUUUUGACGUUACCAACAGAAUAAGCGCCGGCUAACUUCGUG